GACAGAGGCCUCGAGCGUUAGGCGGAAUCACUGGGCUUAAAGCGUGUGUAGGCGGGCCGUUAAGUGCCUUGUGAAAUCCCAUGGCUUAACCAUGGAACUGCUUGGCAUACUGGCGGUCUUGGGCCAGCUACGGGGCUACCGGAACAAACGGUGGAGCGGUGAAAUGCGUAGAUAUCGUUUGGAACGCCAAUGGUGAAAACAGGUAGCUG
rnacentral:rRNA from 1 species